AUGAAUAACCUGCCAUGGCUCGUAGCUGGUGAUUUCAAUGAGAUUUUACACGCUGAUGAGAAAGACGGUGGCGCUGCACGUACUCAGCGCUGUAUGCAAGUUUUUAACGUCACCUUAAGUGAUUGUGGCUUGGAUGAUCUCGGGUACACGGGCGACAAAUUUUCUUGGCGCCGUGGGCAGAUAAGAGAACGGCUGGAUCGAGCAAUUGGAAAUUUGCAGUGGGCUGAUCUUUUCCCUGGUUUUAGUGUAAGUAAUGAGGAGUUUGAUAAAUCAGACCAUAGGCCAAUUCUUAUUACUACAGAUCAUUUGUCAGACUUGCAGCCGAGGGGGCCGUCUGGACCUAGGAAAUUUGAAGCACGAUGGUUAGCAGAAGAGAGUAUAGAGACGAUUGUUCAAACGGCAUGGGAUACUCAAAAAUCUUUUGGUACAGCAUCAUUAGCUGUGCUUACGGCUGAUGUGCAUCAUGCUUUACACUGUUGGGAUAGGGAGGUUCUUAAGGGACCACGUACUAGACUCAGGGAGUUACAGAAGAAGUUAAACGAGGUUCUCUCGGGUCCCUUAACAGAUGAUGCGGUGGUUAGACAACAUGAACUACACUUGGAAAUUGAGAAGCUACUAGAGCAGGAGGAGCUUUACUAG
rnacentral:rRNA from 1 species